UGGCAGGGCAGGAGCCGUGUUCGUGGGGGCGGGAUGCUGCCCCCGACCUGCCAGAGCCCCGUUGCUCUACCAGGCCCAGUGCCAACGUGGGGCAGAGGGGAUGGAAUGGGGCAGGGGCACCGGGCAGGAUGGAGAUUCCCCACCUAUCUGUUCCUCCCUCUAUCCAUCCAUCUGUUCACCCAUCUGUCCGUACAUCCAUCCACCCACCCACCCAUCCAUCCACCCACCUACCCAUCCAUCCACCCACCUGUCUGUCUGUCCAUCCAUCCAUCUACCCAUCUAUUUACCCCACCAUCCAUGCAUUCACCCAUCCAUCUGUCCAUCCAUGUCUCCAUCCACCCAUCCACCCGCCCACCCACCUAUUGCCCACCCACCUAUUGCCCACCCCAGAUGGUGGCAGGUCCCCAUGGGCCAAGAGCUUCCCCCAAGGCCAGGGCUGAGCACCUGUAAGGUGAAGCUGAGCUUCAGAAGAGACCUGAGCCCCUCCGGGAGCAAAUCCUGCCCUCCUGGGCUUUGGGGCAAACAGCUGUGCUUCUAAAAAAAAUAGAAAGAGAAGCCCCAAAUCUUUCUCAUCCGACCCCAAAUUGUGCUGCUCCCAAGCAGCACUGUGGGCUGGCAUGGGGACAUCUCCUGGUGGCUGCGUUCCCUUCAAGCCUCUGUGUCCCAGGGCCUCGUCUCCCCACCACGGCCGGGACCCUGCUCCUCGGCGGGGCAUCGCCCUCCUGGGGCGGGCGCCAGGUGCCCAUGGCUUGUCCCAAAGGACCUGCCCCAGCCUGGGCUGAGCCCAGCGGGGCCCAGAUGCCACCUCCCAAGGGUUAAAGAAACCCCGUUGCCAUGGCAGUGGUGGCACUUGUCCUCUUGAGCCCAAUAAAAGCGCCCGUUGGCCCUGCGGUGCAGAGUGCCCGCAGCGGCGUCGGAGACGAGCCCGCCUCGGGGUGCAGGGUCCGUCUGUGCUCCGUCUGUCCGUCCGUCUCCCCGUGUCUCGCGCAGCCCAAAAUGCAGAGGCCGGCGGCCCCCGCGGCCCCACUGCCCCUCUCGCUCCUGCUGCUGCUCGUCCUCGCGGCCACCGCGCAGGGACAAGAAGCCACCGGCUCCAAGGAGCUGCAGCCCUGGCUCGUGGGCCUCACGGCCGUCGUCGUCUUCCUCUUCAUCGUCUUUGUGGUCCUGCUYGCCAACCGGCUCUGGCGGAUCAGGACGCGCAGGAAGAGCGAUGAGUCCCAGGAAAGCCAGGAGAUUCAUAGGGUGGAGAAGGCCUCCUACGAGAAUCCAGCGGUGGAGAACGAGGAGGAGAAGAGCAAAGCCACGUCGCUGUGAGACGCUGCCCAGCGCAGCCCCAUCACCCCCGUGCAGGGCCACCCCUCUCCCCCCUGGACACGGCCGCAGCCCCGCUGGCAUCUCUGCGCGGCCCGGUGCAGCCCCGGCUGCUCGGGCACGGGGGUCUCCGUGGGGUCUGGGGGCAGCCGCCCUCACUACUGGGUGCCCCUUCCAGCUGGGCGCCCUGGGCUUUAGUGGGUGCUGGGGAGUCCCUGGUGCUCGCUCUCACCCCAGUCCGGGAGGGCAGGGAUCCAGUCCGGGUUUUGCUGGUGCGGGCAGCAGGUGAAGAGUGCCAGCGGCAGCCCCUACGGCUGCCACCAAGACCUGGGGUGGAUUUUGGUGCCCACUGGAAUGGAUUGGGGAGGGCAAAGGUUUGGGGGGGGGGCUGCCUGCCUCCCCCCCCCCGCCCCGGUCACAGCUCCGGUGUGGGGCUGCCCCAUCCCGCCUGGCAUUGGGAGCCAAAGSUGCUAAGACCCACCCUGGCAGGGCAGGGCCUGGCAGCGGGCAGAGCCCUGAGCUGGGGACCCCCCCCCACCUUGCACCCCACAGAGCUCUG
ensembl:lncRNA small integral membrane protein 24